rnacentral:sRNA from 1 species
AACACACACACACACACACAUAUAUAAAAAAAAUAUAUAUAUAUAUAUAUAUGCGUGUGUGUGUGUGUGUU